UACGUAGGGGGCGAGCGUUGUCCGGAUUCAUUGGGCGUAAAGAGCUCGUAGGCGGCUCAGUAAGUCAGGUGUGAAAACUCCAGGCUCAACCUGGAGACGCCACUUGAUACUGCUGUGGCUAGAGUCCGGUAGGGGAGCAUGGAAUUCCUGGUGUAGCGGUGAAAUGCGCAGAUAUCAGGAGGAACACCAGUGGCGAAGGCGGUGCUCUGGGCCGGAACUGACGCUGAGACGCGAAAGCGUGGGGAGCAAACAGG
rnacentral:rRNA from 1 species